rnacentral:piRNA from 1 species
UCACUCAUCAAGAUUUUUCUC